UGGCGACCAUAGCGUUGUGGACCCACCUGACUCCAUGCCGAACUCAGUAGUGAAACGCAAUAGCGCCGAUGGUAGUGUGGGGCUUCCCCAUGCGAGAGUAGGACAUCGCCAGGCU
rnacentral:rRNA from 1 species